rnacentral:rRNA from 1 species
CAGUCGCCGCGGGAAUACGAAGGGGGCUAGCGUUGUUCGGAUUUACUGGGCGUAAAGGGCGCGUAGGCGGACUGAUAAGUCAGGGGUGAAAUCCCAAGGCUCAACCUUGGAACUGCCUUUGAUACUGUUUGUCUUGAGUUCGAGAGAGGUAAGUGGAACUGCGAGUGUAGAGGUGAAAUUCGUAGAUAUUCGCAAGAACACCAGUGGCGAAGGCGGCUUACUGGCUCGAAACUGACGCUGAGGCGCGAAAGCGUGGGGAGCAAACAGGAUUAGAUACCCCCGUAGUCCCUGUCUCUUAUAC